rfam:Myotis davidii contig54033, whole genome shotgun sequence.
GGUGGUUCUUGGGUGAUGCACCCUGGAAUCAGGCUCCCUCCUCUGUGGUUCUGUGUGUCACCUGAGAACAGCA